rnacentral:rRNA from 1 species
UACGUAGGGUGCGAGCGUUAUUCGGAAUUACUGGGCGUAAAGCGUGCGCAGGCGGUCCGCAAAGUCUGAUGUGAAAGCCCCGGGCUCAACCUGGGAACUGCAUUGGAAACUAACGGGCUCGAGUGUGGCAGAGGGGGGUGGAAUUCCACGUGUAGCAGUGAAAUGCGUAGAGAUGUGGAGGAACACCGAUGGCGAAGGCAGCCCGCUGGGCUAACACUGACGCUCAGGCACGAAAGCGUGGGGAGCAAACAGG